AUUGAACGCUGCGGCAGGCUUAACACAUGCAAGUCGAGCGAGCGGCUGACGGGUGAGUAAUGCUUAGGAAUCUGCCUAUUAGUGGUGGCCAACAUCUCGAAAGGGAUGCUAAUACCGCAUACUAAUAGAUUAGCCUAAGUCGGAGUAGCUAGUUGGUGGGGGAAAGGCCUACCAAGGCGAAGACAUGUAGCGGGUCUGAGAGGAUGAUCAGCCAAAAUGGGACUGAGACACGGCCCAGACGCCUACGGGGGGCAGCAGUGGGGAAUAUUGGACAAUGGGGGGAACCCUGAUCCAGCCAUGCAGCGUGUGUGAAGAAGGCCUUAUGGUUGUAAAGCACUUUAAGCGAGGAGGCGUUACUCGCAGAAGAAGCACCGGCUAACUCAGUGCCAGCCGCCGCGGUAAUAC
rnacentral:rRNA from 1 species